GGUUAUGCUAGUCUUAUGAAACAAGGAGGAGAGUGUUCCUGGUUUACCCCAAGAGUUCCUGUGAGAUUGCUGUUUACUUCCCUGGCUUUUUGGAAGAAUUGAUUGGCAAAACAAGUAAAGCAUUUCCCACUGCUAGGAAUUUAGUGAGGCCAGCAGACUCUACAAUUGUGCCACUUGAAUUUGGGAAGAAGGUGGAGCAAGCGGCCCACGCAGCCUGGGGACGGAGGAGCCGGUGUGCCCGCUUCCCCUGCGCCUGCCAGCCCAGGGCAGGCCUUGCGAUGACAGGAUGCUGGUGGUGGACGAGAAGCUGAGGAGGGCGGGGCUGCGUGACCUGUGUUCUGUGAUGGGGUCACA